rnacentral:rRNA from 1 species
GGGGAUUGCCUUAGUAGCGGCGAGUGAAGCGGCAAAAGCUCAAAUUUGAAAUCUGGCACUUUCAGUGUCCGAGUUGUAAUUUGAAGAAGGUAUCUUUGGGUCUGGCUCUUGUCUAUGUUUCUUGGAACAGAACGUCACAGAGGGUGAGAAUCCCGUGCGAUGAGAUGUCCCAGACCUAUGUAAAGUUCCUUCGAAGAGUCGAGUUGUUUGGGAAUGCAGCUCUAAGUGGGUGGUAAAUUCCAUCUAAAGCUAAAUAUUGGCGAGAGACCGAUAGCGAACAAGUACAGUGAUGGAAAGAUGAAAAGAACUUUGAAAAGAGAGUGAAAAAGUACGUGAAAUUGUUGAAAGGGAAGGGCUUGAGAUCAGACUUGGUAUUUUGUAUGUUACUCUCUCGGGGGUGGCCUCUACAGUUUACCGGGCCAGCAUCAGUUUGAGCGGUAGGAUAAGUGCAAAGAAAUGUGGCACUGCUUCGGUAGUGUGUUAUAGUCUUUGUCGAUACUGCCAGCUUAGACUGAGGACUGCGGCUUCGGCCUAGGAUGUUGGCAUAAUGAUCUUAAGUCGCCCGUCUUGAAACCGCGACGCACACA